CCAAGCAAUGUCAUUUGAGUCUGUCUGCACACUUCAAAGUUGGGUUAGGAGUUCAAAAGAGAUGUCCAAUAUUAUUGCACACCCAGAACAUUCCCUGCCCUCAUUUAUUUCUGGUAUUUUGGUCAGUUGUAGGUGGCCCCACUUAGAAGGUAAAGUGCAUGCAAUUUAAGGUGCACAAACAACUUUUCUCAAGCAUCUUCAAGAAUAGAAAUGGAAAAACUUCAGUGAGUUGAUCUGGAGAUGUUCUAGUUAUGAUUCCAGGCCACAACAAGGUAAGGACCCAACUAAUGAUGAAAACAUAUUAAAUGUAUUGUCUGAUUCUAGUAAAGUAACAAAGGAAGGAGAGAUAUCCGCAUAAUAAAGAUAAGGACUUUAUCUAGCGCAAUUAUUAUCACAAUCUCUACCUAGAUAGAGCACAACCUACAAAUAAUAUUAUAGGCUACAGUAAUUAUUAUAGUAAAGAAAUACUAUUAAAGGGUAAAACAGGUGCUUAUGCAAACAUGAACAUUUGUUUCACUAGACUGUGACCACGUUUAUUGAUACAACAUUGAGAAGGCAACAGUCUUUAUUAUCAGGCUCAGGCUAAGACACAGAUGCAGAUACAGGAGGCGGAUAAAGUCAGAUCUGGGAAGACUAGGAGAAACUAGAGCACAGGAAACACGGGAACACCCCGGUAGGACUUGACAGGACAAGACGAACUCGCAACAAACAGAAAACGCAGGUAUAAAUACACAGGGGAUAAUGAAGGGAGAUGGGAGACACCUGGUGGGGGGUCAAGACAAGUACAAAGACAGGUGAAACAGAUCAGGGUGUGACACUUUAUCAUUGACCUUGGAUCCGAGAUACGAAUAAUUGACAAACAUGAGAAGAGAACAAGAAACACAGAAACUGCAACAAAAAAAAAUACAAAUUAGAAAUGUAAAUAUAAAUGUAAUAGAAAAGGUAUUCCAUAUUCCCAAAUUAUCCCAAUCAAGAUGUUUCCAGAUGUUGAUGAUUUUAUUGUGCUUCAUUGUAUUUUCCUUCAAAUGUUGUGUUUUAUGACCAUCAUAAGACCCUCUGUAUUAUUGUUUUAGUUGACUGUAACAUACUGUAUUCUGGAUGUCUUUGGUUACAGGUUCAAUAAGUGUCUCUGAGGAGAGAGAGAGAGAGAACAGGGGCACUGUCUCUAAAAUGAAUCUCUCUGGGAACAUGAAACCAACACAAAAGCUAAAAGCCCAAUGCAGCAGGAAACCAGACUCACCUGUUCCCAGCCGUGUCCAUGAAGAGUGACCAGUCUAUGGGACGACCAGACGUAUUCAGAAAGGGAGACGGUUCUACUGAACAAAGACUGAAUGGGUAUAACCUUACAGAGAGUUGUUGUGCUUUUCUGGCCUCGACUCAGCUCAAACUCCUCACAAAUGAGAGAGCUGAACCUGAGUGACAACAACCUGCAGGAUUCAGGAGUAAAGCUGCUCUCUGCUGGACUGGAGAGUCUACACUGUAAAUUGGAGACACUAAGAGGAAGGCUGUGACCAAAUCCCUCCCAUCUGAGAGAACUGGACCUGAGCUACAACCACCCAGGAUACUCAUGAUUAAAGCUGAUCUCUGCAGGACUGGAGGAUGGAAAACUGGAAAAACUCAAGACAAUGACCCAACACACCUCCAGGUUGUGUAAGGGCUAUUACACCAAAAAGGACAGUGAUGGAGAGCUGCAUCAGAUGACCUGGCCUCCACAAUCGCCCGACAACCCAAUUGAGAUUCUUUGGGAUGAGCUGGACCGCAGAGUGAAGGAAAAGCAGCCAACAAAUGCACAACAUAUCUGAUAACUCCUUCAAAACUGUUGGAAAAGCAUUCCAGGUGAAGCUGGUUGAGUUAAUGCCAAGAAUGUGCUGUCAUCAAGGAAAAGGGUGGCUGCUUUGAAGAAUCUAAAAUAUAUAAUAUAUUUUGAUAUGUUUAACACUUUUUUGGUUACUACAUGAUUCCAUAUGUGUUAUUUCAUAGUUUUGAUGUCUUCACUAUUAUUCUACAAUGCAGGAAAUAGUCCAAAUAAAGAAAAACCCUUGAAUGAGUAGGUUUGUCCAAAACUUUGACUGAUACUGCAUAU